rnacentral:rRNA from 1 species
CCUACGGGUGGCAGCAGUGGGGGAUAUUGCACAAUGGGGGAAACCCUGAUGCAGCGAUGCCGCGUGAAUGAAGACGGCCUUCGGGUUGUAAAGUUCUGUCGCGGGGGACGAAAAUGACGGGACCCUGCAAGAAAGCUCCGGCUAACUACGUGCCAGCAGCCGCGGGAAUACGUAGGGAGCAAGCGUUGUCCGGAAUUACUGGGGGUAAGGGGAGCGUAGGCGGGAGGAUAAGUUGCAUGUGAAAGCUAUGGGCUCAACCCAGAGCUGCGUUCAAAAUUGUUCUACUUGAGUGAAGUAGAGGCAGGCGGAAUUCGUAGUGUAGCGGUGAAAUGCGUAGAUAUUAGGAGGAACACCGGUGGCGAAGGCGGCCUGCUGGGCUUUUACUGACGCUGAGGCUCGAAAGCGUGGGUAGCAAACAGGAUUAGAUACCCGAGUAGUC